GACGGUAUGGUAUUGGCUUACCGUGGCAGUGACGGCUAACGGGGAAUUAGGGUUCUAUUCCGGAGAGGGAGCAUGAGAAACGGCUACCACAUCUAAGGAAGGCAGCAGGCGCGCAAAUUACCCAAUCCUAACAGAACAAGGGAGGUAGUGACAAGAAGUAACAAUACAAGGCUGUUAAAACGUUUUGUAAUUGGAAUGAUAGAAAUUUAAACACUUUCUAAAGUAUCAAUUGGAGGGCAAGUCUGGUGCCAGCAGCCGCGGUAAUUCCAGCUCCAAUAGCGUAUAUUAAAGUUGUUGCAGUUAAAAAGCUCGUAGUUGGAUUUCUGCUAAAAUUAACCAGCCUGCUUUUAAUAAAAGUGGUAUUUGGUAUGUUUUUAGCAUUAAUGUCCUAAAAAAUGUUUUUCGCUUCAUUGCAAAAAGCAGUAUUUAGGGUUUUUACUUUGAGAAAAUUAGAGUGUUUCAAGCAGACUUACGUUUUGAAUACUGCAGCAUGGAAUAAUAAGAUAGGAUUUUGGUUCUACAUUAUUGGUUUUAAGAGCUAAAUUAAUGAUUAAUAGGGACAGUUGGGGGCAUUUGUAUUUAACUGUCA
rnacentral:rRNA from 1 species